UAUUUCUCCGGUGUGAAUUACUUGAUGAUUAUCAAGAGUUCUCUUCACAGCAAAGCUCUUUCCACAUUCCAGACAUGUAUAUGGUUUUUCUCCAGUAUGAAUUCUUUGAUGUUGACGGAGGUUUCCAUCCUGACAAAAGCUCUUUCCACACUCCAGGCAUUUGUAAGGUUUUUCUCCAGUGUGAAUUCUUUGAUGAUAACGGAGGUGUCCACCCUGAGUAAAGCUCUUUCCACACUCCAGGCAUUUAUAAGGUUUUUCUCCAGUGUGAAUUCUUUGAUGUUUAUCAAGAUCUCUCCUCGCAGUGAAGCUCUUUCCA